UAAACAAAAAAAUAUUCGAUUUUUGGAAGCCAACAAAUCUCUGUUUGAGCUCUUCUUUUAAAUACAAAAUUUACCUAUGUAGAAUGUACCAAAGUUCGAAUCCAUGAGUGUGAUGUACCGUGCUGUGGAUCAAUAAGAUGAGUCCUGUAACAUCUAUCAUCAUCACGCCUGUAUCGACGUUGCUCUUUCUGCCGUCACGACAAAUUUUCGUCCGUUCGACGAGACGCGUAGUCUGUAGUAGUUGUUCGGAACGACGAAUCAUUACAUUAUGGCGUGGUGGUGGCGAAGAGUAACUUCUCACUGUGAGAGAAGUGAAGGAGACGACUGGGGUUAUUUUCCCGGUUUUCUCCACUUGGUCUUUAUAACAUUCCAGGUAAUCAUACAGUACGAGGGCAUACAACUACCUAUAAUAUAAUGUUAUGUACCUAUAGGAUUGAACGCGAGUCAUGGUCAACGAUCAGCAGUGGCAAACGUACAAUCAUUUGUUACACUGUAUGAUGUUAUUACCAUUAUUAUACGUUAUUAAGGA